CCUAAGUCAGACUUUCUCCAAGAAAAAAAAAAAAAGAAACUCUAAGGAGACCCUAUUUUUUAUUCUUCUAAGUAGUUAAAAUUAGAAAUCACAGCAAGUCAACAGGAAGCUCUCCUCUGCCAGUCUCCUAAAUCACAAUAUGGCCUUGUCGUGGCUGGAGUAUUUCAAAGGCUCAGUCCCACUCCAGAAUCGGCCCUGUCGCCUCCGCCCGCACUCCAGAGCCGGCUGAGAACCGCAGCGGCGCGGGAUCCACGUGCAGCGUCUCUCCAGGAGAUCAAAGUACUCCAAAAAUGCAGCUGCUUCAGUGACAAGAGGGAAUUACCUUCUCCCAAGCCUCAGGAUCCUGGUACCCGACUUGCCUGCCCCAGGCUCACUCCCAUUCACACAGUCCUUCAUGGCAGUGUCCAGCUUCACCAGGUCAAAGCUACCUAGAUGUCAUCAUACAAAUUACAGGCUAUGACGUCCACCUCAUUCUCUUUCUGGAAGGCUGACCUUAACUGUCCUGCACAUUCCUUACACAGCAUAUUUGCCCUUUUCCUAUACUAAUAAGCCCUAAAUCUUGGGGGUAACAGCCUGGGGAACUACCUGUCUUGCUACCACUCAAGACCAUACUUCUGUCCACAAAUUCCCCC
rnacentral:lncRNA from 10 species